rnacentral:rRNA from 1 species
GAGUUUGAUCUUGGCUCAGGAUAAACGUUAGCGGCGUGCCUAACACAUGCAAGUCGAACGAACAGCCAGAAUCUUAGGAAUCUGGCGGGUUAGUGGCGCACGGGUGAGUAACACGUAGGUGACCUGCCCCGAAGUGGGGGACAACCACUGGAAACAGUGGCUAAUACCGCAUGUGCUUAGCCAUUCGGUUGGUUAAGUAAAGCUGAGGCGCUUCGGGAGGGGCCUGCGGUCGAUUAGCUAGUUGGUGAGGUAAUGGCUCACCAAGGCGAUGAUCGAUAGGGGGCGUGAGAGCGUGACCCCCACACUGGGACUGAGACACGGCCCAGACUCCUACGGGAGGCAGCAGUGAGGAAUAUUGCACAAUGGGCGCAAGCCUGAUGCAGCAACGCCGCGU